rnacentral:rRNA from 1 species
ACAUCCAGAGAAUUUAGCAGAGAUGCUUUAGUGCCUUCGGGAACUCUGAGACAGGUGCUGCAUGGCUGUCGUCAGCUCGUGUUGUGAAAUGUUGGGUUAAGUCCCGNAACGAGCGCAACCCCUAUCCUUUGUUGCCAGCGAUUCGGUCGGGAACUCAAAGGAGACUGCCGGUGAUAAACCGGAGGAAGGUGGGGAUGACGUCAAGUCAUCAUGGCCCUUACGAGUAGGGCUACACACGUGCUACAAUGGCGCAUACAAAGAGAAGCGACCUCGCGAGAGCAAGCGGACCUCAUAAAGUGCGUCGUAGUCCGGAUUGGAGUCUGCAACUCGACUCCAUGAAGUCGGAAUCGCUAGUAAUCGUAGAUCAGAAUGCUACGGUGAAUACGUUCCCGGGCCUUGUACACACCGCCCGUCACACCAUGGGAGUGGGUUGCAAAAGAAGUAGAUAGCUUAACCUUCGGGAGGGCGUUUACCACUUUGUGAUUCGUGACUGGGGUGAAGUCGUAACAAGGUAAGCGUAGCGAG